rnacentral:lncRNA from 7 species
CAAACAUCAGGCAUUUUCUCUUGAGAAUCCGCGAUUUAACUGAAAAUCACACAUUUUCUCUUGAAAAAUCCCCCAUUUAACCCAAAAAUCACACAUUUUCCCUUCCAAAAUACCCCAUUUAAACAAAAAUACACAUUUUCUCUUUGAGAAUCCUGUUUAAACCGAAAAUCAUGCAUAUUCUCUACAAAACUUGCUGUUUAAACCAAAAAUUGCGCGUUUUCUCUUCAACAAUCCCCCGUUUAACCCCAAAACCUCACCUUUUCUCUUGGAAAAUACGCAUUUACCCCCAAAUCAUGCAUUUUCUCUCCAAAAAUACCCCAUUAACCCCAAAAGCACACAUUUUCUCUCAGAAAUCCCCCUUUUAACCCCCAAAUCACACAUUUUCUCUUGGAAAAUCCCCCAUUUACCCCAAAAUCAUGCUUUAUCUCUUCAAAAAUACCCCAUUAUCCCCC